AGAGGGUGCAAGCGUUAAUCGGAAUUACUGGGCGUAAAGCGCGCGUAGGUGGUUUGUUAAGUUGGAUGUGAAAUCCCCGGGCUCAACCUGGGAACUGCAUUCAAAACUGACUGACUAGAGUAUGGUAGAGGGUGGUGGAAUUUCCUGUGUAGCGGUGAAAUGCGUAGAUAUAGGAAGGAACACCAGUGGCGAAGGCGACCACCUGGACUAAUACUGACACUGAGGUGCGAAAGCGUGGGGAGCAAACAGGAUUAGAUAUCCUGGUAGUCCACGCCGUAAACGAUGUCGACCAGCCGUUGGGUGCCUAGCGCACUUUGUGGCGAAGUUAACGCGAUAAGUCGACCGCCUGGGGAGUACGGCCGCAAGGUUA
rnacentral:rRNA from 1 species